GAUGAACGCUGGCGGCGUGCCUAAUACAUGCAAGUCGAGCGAACAGACGAGGAGCUUGCUCCUCUGACGUUAGCGGCGGACGGGUGAGUAACACGUGGAUAACCUACCUAUAAGACUGGGAUAACUUCGGGAAACCGGAGCUCAUACCGGGUAAUAUAUUGAACCGCAUGGUUCAAUAGUGAAAGACGGUUUUGCAGUCGCUUAGAGAUGGGUCCGCGCCCCAUUAGCUAGUUGGUAGGGUAACGGCCUACCAAGGCGACGACGGGUAGCCGGCCUGAGAGGGCGACCGGUCACACUGGGACUGAGACACGGCCCAGACUCCUACGGGAGGCAGCAGUGGGGAAUAUUGCGCAAUGGGCGAAAGCCUGACGCAGCGACGCCGCGUGAGGGACGAAGGCCUUCGGGUUGUAAACCUCUUUCAGCAGGGACGAAGCGAAAGUGACGGUACCUGCAGAAGAAGCACCGGCCAACUACGUG
rnacentral:rRNA from 1 species